GGGUUGUGAGGUUAAGCGACUAAGCGUACACGGUGGAUGCCCUGGCAGUCAGAGGCGAUGAAGGACGUGCUAAUCUGCGAUAAGCGUCGGUAAGGUGAUAUGAACCGUUAUAACCGGCGAUUUCCGAAUGGGGAAACCCAGUGUGUUUCGACACACUAUCAUUAACUGAAUCCAUAGGUUAAUGAGGCGAACCGGGGGAACUGAAACAUCUAAGUACCCCGAGGAAAAGAAAUCAACCGAGAUUCCCCCAGUAGCGGCGAGCGAACGGGGAGCAGCCCAGAGCCUGAAUCAGUGUGUGUGUUAGUGGAAGCGUCUGGAAAGGCGCGCGAUACAGGGUGACAGCCCCGUACACAAAAAUGCACAUGCUGUGAGCUCGAUGAGUAGGGCGGGACACGUGGUAUCCUGUCUGAAUAUGGGGGGACCAUCCUCCAAGGCUAAAUACUCCUGACUGACCGAUAGUGAACCAGUACCGUGAGGGAAAGGCGAAAAGAACCCCGGCGAGGGGAGUGAAAAAGAACCUGAAACCGUGUACGUACAAGCAGUGGGAGCACAGAGCAAUCUGUGUGACUGCGUACCUUUUGUAUAAUGGGUCAGCGACUUAUAUUCUGUAGCAAGGUUAACCGAAUAGGGGAGCCGAAGGGAAACCGAGUCUUAACUGGGCGUUAAGUUGCAGGGUAUAGACCCGAAACCCGGUGAUCUAGCCAUGGGCAGGUUGAAGGUUGGGUAACACUAACUGGAGGACCGAACCGACUAAUGUUGAAAAAUUAGCGGAUGACUUGUGGCUGGGGGUGAAAGGCCAAUCAAACCGGGAGAUAGCUGGUUCUCCCCGAAAGCUAUUUAGGUAGCGCCUCGUGAAUUCAUCUCCGGGGGUAGAGCACUGUUUCGGCAAGGGGGUCAUCCCGACUUACCAACCCGAUGCAAACUGCGAAUACCGGAGAAUGUUAUCACGGGAGACACACGGCGGGUGCUAACGUCCGUCGUGAAGAGGGAAACAACCCAGACCGCCAGCUAAGGUCCCAAAGUCAUGGUUAAGUGGGAAACGAUGUGGGAAGGCCCAGACAGCCAGGAUGUUGGCUUAGAAGCAGCCAUCAUUUAAAGAAAGCGUAAUAGCUCACUGGUCGAGUCGGCCUGCGCGGAAGAUGUAACGGGGCUAAACCAUGCACCGAAGCUGCGGCAGCGACGCUUAUGCGUUGUUGGGUAGGGGAGCGUUCUGUAAGCCUGUGAAGGUGUGCUGUGAGGCAUGCUGGAGGUAUCAGAAGUGCGAAUGCUGACAUAAGUAACGAUAAAGCGGGUGAAAAGCCCGCUCGCCGGAAGACCAAGGGUUCCUGUCCAACGUUAAUCGGGGCAGGGUGAGUCGACCCCUAAGGCGAGGCCGAAAGGCGUAGUCGAUGGGAAACAGGUUAAUAUUCCUGUACUUGGUGUUACUGCGAAGGGGGGACGGAGAAGGCUAUGUUGGCCGGGCGACGGUUGUCCCGGUUUAAGCGUGUAGGCUGGUUUUCCAGGCAAAUCCGGAAAAUCAAGGCUGAGGCGUGAUGACGAGGCACUACGGUGCUGAAGCAACAAAUGCCCUGCUUCCAGGAAAAGCCUCUAAGCAUCAGGUAACAUCAAAUCGUACCCCAAACCGACACAGGUGGUCAGGUAGAGAAUACCAAGGCGCUUGAGAGAACUCGGGUGAAGGAACUAGGCAAAAUGGUGCCGUAACUUCGGGAGAAGGCACGCUGAUAUGUAGGUGAAGUCCCUCGCGGAUGGAGCUGAAAUCAGUCGAAGAUACCAGCUGGCUGCAACUGUUUAUUAAAAACACAGCACUGUGCAAACACGAAAGUGGACGUAUACGGUGUGACGCCUGCCCGGUGCCGGAAGGUUAAUUGAUGGGGUUAGCGCAAGCGAAGCUCUUGAUCGAAGCCCCGGUAAACGGCGGCCGUAACUAUAACGGUCCUAAGGUAGCGAAAUUCCUUGUCGGGUAAGUUCCGACCUGCACGAAUGGCGUAAUGAUGGCCAGGCUGUCUCCACCCGAGACUCAGUGAAAUUGAACUCGCUGUGAAGAUGCAGUGUACCCGCGGCAAGACGGAAAGACCCCGUGAACCUUUACUAUAGCUUGACACUGAACAUUGAGCCUUGAUGUGUAGGAUAGGUGGGAGGCUUUGAAGUGUGGACGCCAGUCUGCAUGGAGCCGACCUUGAAAUACCACCCUUUAAUGUUUGAUGUUCUAACGUUGACCCGUAAUCCGGGUUGCGGACAGUGUCUGGUGGGUAGUUUGACUGGGGCGGUCUCCUCCUAAAGAGUAACGGAGGAGCACGAAGGUUGGCUAAUCCUGGUCGGACAUCAGGAGGUUAGUGCAAUGGCAUAAGCCAGCUUGACUGCGAGCGUGACGGCGCGAGCAGGUGCGAAAGCAGGUCAUAGUGAUCCGGUGGUUCUGAAUGGAAGGGCCAUCGCUCAACGGAUAAAAGGUACUCCGGGGAUAACAGGCUGAUACCGCCCAAGAGUUCAUAUCGACGGCGGUGUUUGGCACCUCGAUGUCGGCUCAUCACAUCCUGGGGCUGAAGUAGGUCCCAAGGGUAUGGCUGUUCGCCAUUUAAAGUGGUACGCGAGCUGGGUUUAGAACGUCGUGAGACAGUUCGGUCCCUAUCUGCCGUGGGCGCUGGAGAACUGAGGGGGGCUGCUCCUAGUACGAGAGGACCGGAGUGGACGCAUCACUGGUGUUCGGGUUGUCAUGCCAAUGGCACUGCCCGGUAGCUAAAUGCGGAAGAGAUAAGUGCUGAAAGCAUCUAAGCACGAAACUUGCCCCGAGAUGAGUUCUCCCUGACUCCUUGAGAGUCCUGAAGGAACGUUGAAGACGACGACGUUGAUAGGCCGGGUGUGUAAGCGCAGCGAUGCGUUGAGCUAACCGGUACUAAUGAACCGUGAGGCUUAACCUUACAACGCCGAAG
rnacentral:rRNA from 1 species